rnacentral:siRNA from 1 species
GCAACUAGCGAUGGUGGAGAUAAG